GUCGUCGACAUCUUUAUCCGCUGUGGAGAGACAGCAAGACGAAAGACAGAGAAUAGGUGGAUUAGGAGAGAGAAAGAGGAAGGGAGAAGGUAAAGAGAGAGUAGGAGGGAAAGAGAGAAAAAUGAAAAACAAAAGAGAAGAAUAAAGGGUUGCUCAGAGAAUAGAGGGUCUGAAGGUUGCUCAGAGAAUAGAGGGACUGAAGGUUGCUCAGAGAAUAGAGGGUCUGACGGUUGCUCAGAGAAUAGAGGGACUGAAGGUUGCUCAGAGAAUAGAGGGUCUGAAGGUUGCUCAGAGAAUAGAGGGACUGAAGGUUGCUCAGAGAAUAGAGGGUCUGAAGGUUGCUCAGAGAAUAGAGGGACUGAAGGUUGCUCAGAGAAUAGAGGGUCUGAAGGUUGCUCAGAGAAUAGAGGGACUGAAGGUUGCUCAGAGAAUAGAGGGUCUGACGGUUGCUCAGAGAAUAGAGGGACUGAAGGUUGCUCAGAGAAUAGAGGGACUGAAGGUUGCUCAGAGAAUAGAGGGUCUGAAGGUUGCUCAGAGAAUAGAGGGACUGAAGGUUGCUCAGAGAAUAGAGGGUCUGAAGGUUGCUCAGAGAAUAGAGGGACUGAAGGUUGCUCAGAGAAUAGAGGGUCUGAAGGUUGCUCAGAGAAUAGAGGGACUGAAGGUUGCUCAGAGAAUAGAGGGUCUGAAGGUUGCUCAGAGAAUAGAGGGACUGAAGGUUGCUCAGAGAAUAGAGGGUCUGAAGGUUGCUCAGAGAAUAGAG